AUGUAUUUAUUUUACUUCUUUAUAUUUUUGUAGUGACUUGCUUUUCUGAUACUCUCUGUUUUUGGAGUAUUAAAUAUAAAUACUUAUCCAGUAGAUGUGUAUAGGAUAUGUAGUCUAUACAGGAAUAGUUGAGGCGCUCUCAUAUAGACAAAAGUAUUCGGGAAAAUAAUAAAAUGUAUUUUAUAUAGACUUUCAUCUAGUGCCAUAAUAAGGAGGAAAACAGAAAGACAAACUGCAAGAAUUGGCCAUACAUUGCAACUACACCAUUGAAUUCAGAAUUAUGUCAGUGCUGACAUCCUGAUACUUCAUGUUGGAUAGACCAAGUACACUAUGGUUACCCUGAUUCCCAAUGCUUUGCUAGGUGCAAAAGGAGUAAACAUUAGCCCACUUGGU